rnacentral:rRNA from 1 species
AUACGGAGGGUGCGAGCGUUAAUCGGAAUUACUGGGCGUAAAGGGCGCGUAGGCGGUUUGGUCAGUCGGAUGUGAAAGCCCUAGGCUCAACCUGGGAAUGGCAUUCGAUACUGCCUGACUAGAGUAUGGUAGAGGGAAGUGGAAUUUCCGGUGUAGCGGUGAAAUGCGUAGAUAUCGGAAGGAACACCAGUGGCGAAGGCGACUUCCUGGGCCAAUACUGACGCUGAGGUGCGAAAGCGUGGGGAGCAAACAGAAUUAGAAACCCGGGUAGUCC